CGCUCACCUUCGGGUGGGAGUGGCAGACGGGUGAGUAACACGUGGGAACGUACCCUUUGGUUCGGGACAACUCUGGGAAACUGGAGCUAAUACCGGAUACGCCCUUUUGGGGAAAGGUUUACUGCCGAAGGAUCGGCCCGCGUCUGAUUAGCUAGUUGGUGGGGUAACGGCCUACCAAGGCGACGAUCAGUAGCUGGUCUGAGAGGAUGAUCAGCCACACUGGGACUGAGACACGGCCCAGACUCCUACGGGAGGCAGCAGUGGGGAAUAUUGGACAAUGGGCGCAAGCCUGAUCCAGCCAUGCCGCGUGAGUGAUGAAGGCCUUAGGGUUGUAAAGCUCUUUUAUCCGGGACGAUAAUGACGGUACCGGAGGAAUAAGCCCCGGCUAACUUCGUGCCAGCAGCCGCGGUAAUACGAAGGGGGCUAGCGUUGCUCGGAAUCACUGGGCGUAAAGGGCGCGUAGGCGGCGUUUUAAGUCGGGGGUGAAAGCCUGUGGCUCAACCACAGAAUGGCCUUCGAUACUGGGACGCUUGAGUCUGGUAGAGGUUGGUGGAACUGCGAGUGUAGAGGUGAAAUUCGUAGAUAUUCGCAAGAACACCGGUGGCGAAGCG
rnacentral:rRNA from 1 species